GUUCCCCUUGAACGAGGAAUUCCCAGUAAGCGCGAGUCAUAAGCUCGCGUUGAUUACGUCCCUGCCCUUUGUACACACCGCCCGUCGCUACUACCGAUUGGGCGAUUUAGUGAGCGCCUCGGAUUGGACCCGGAACGAUCGGCAGCGACCGUACCGCUGUGUGCCGAAAAGACGCGCAAACUUGAUCGCCUAGAGGAAGUAAAAGUCGUAACAAGGUUUCCGUAGGUGAACCUGCGGAAGGAUCA
rnacentral:rRNA from 1 species